rnacentral:rRNA from 1 species
AUGGCGACCUUCUCCAACGAGGAGCUUCUGCAGGCGCACGCCGAGCUCUGGGACCUCACCUUCGGCUACCUCAAAUCCAUGGCGCUCGAGUGCGCCAUCAAGCUCGGUCUCCCGAACGCCAUCCACCGAUGCGGCGGCGCCGCCACGCUGCCGGACUUGCUCGACGCCGUUUCUGUCCCGGAGAGCAAGAAGGCGCACCUGCCUCGCCUCAUGAGGUUUCUCGCCGCGUUCGGUAUCUUUACUGUCAGUGCACCUGCUGCAGGUGAGUGCGCGGAUGGGGAGAAGGCGAGCGUCUACGGCCUCACGCCGGUGUCCCGCCUGCUGGCGGACGACGCCGGCGCCAACGGGUCGUGCGGGAGCCUCUCGCCGUUCGUGCUCUCCCAGACCACCAAGUACCACGUGAAAGCGGCCAUGCACCUGCCAGAGUGGUUCAUGAGCGACGACGGCGCGGCGGCGGUGGCGAUGCCGUUCAGGAUGGCGCACGGCACAGACCUGUGGGGCGUCAUGGAGCGUGACCCGAAGAUGAACCAGGUCUUCAACGCGGGCAUGGGGUCAGACACCCAGCUCGCGAUGGACUUCGUCAUCAGCAACUACGGCGACGUGUUCGAGGGGGUGACCUCGCUGGUCGACGUCGGCGGCGGGCCCGGCUCCGCGGCGAGGGCCAUCGCGAGGGCCUUCCCGCACGUCAAGUGCUCCGUGCUCGACCUCCCCAACGUGGUCAAUUCCAUCCCGUCCGACGGCGUGGUCGAGUACAUCUCAGGUGACAUGAUGAGCUCCAUUCCGACGACCGAUGCUGUGUUCCUCAAGUACAUCAUGCAUGACUGGAACGACGAGGACUGCGUGAAGAUCUUGAUGCAGUGCAAGAAGGCGAUCCCCGAAUCGGGCGGGAAAGUGAUAAUCAUAGACAUAGUGGUCGGAUCUCCUUUGAAAGCCAUGCUGGAAGCCCAAGUCUCGUUUGAUCUGCUGAUGAUGGUGAUCACGGCAGGAAAGGAGCGUGACGAGCACGAGUGGCGCAAGAUUUUCAUGGACGCGGGAUUCAGCCACCACAAGACAAGGCCUGUUUUGGGGUUUAUGGCCAUCACUGAGCUGUAUGCUUAG